UAUGGAGCGAGGUUAAGCAGGAUAUGCGGAGCCGAAGCGAAAGCGAGUCUUAAGAGGGCGAAAGUUGCAUGCAGUAGACCCGAAACCGGGUGAUCUAGCCAUGACCAGGUUGAAGUUGGGGUAAAACCCGAUGGAGGACCGAACCGACCCCCGUUGAAACGUUGGCGGAUGAGUUGUGGCUAGGGGUGAAAUUCCAAUCGAACCCGGAGAUAGCUGGUUCUCCCCGAAAUAGCUUUAGGGCUAGCGUCGAGGUAGAGAGUUGCGUGAAGGUAGAGCACUGAAUAUGUGAUGGCCCCAUCUCGGGGUACUGAGCAUAAUCAAACUGCGAAUGUCACGGAAACAUACUCGGCAGUCAGACAGCGGGUGAUAAGGUCCGUUGUCAAGAGGGAAACAGCCCAGACCAUCAGCUAAGGUCCCAAAAUGUAUGCUAAGUGGAAAAGGAUGUGGAGAUGUACAGACAACUAGGAGGUUGGCUCAGAAGCAGCCAUCCUUUAAAGAGUGCGUAACAGCUCACUAGUCGAAUGACUCUGCGCCGAUAAUUUACCGGGGCUAAGCAUACUACCGAAGCUAUGGAUCCCAAGGGAUGGUAGGGGAGCGUUCCAUGAACGGAGAAGCGCGAUCGAGAGGACGCGUGGAGAUCAUGGAAGAGAGAAUGCCGGUGUGAGUAGCGGAACGUGGGUGAGAAUCCCACGCACCGAAAACCCAAGGUUUCCAGAGGAAGGUUCGUCCGCUCUGGGUAAGUCGGGACCUAAGGCGAGGCCGAGAGGCGUAGUCGAUGGACAACAGGUAGAGAUUCCUGUACUCAUAUAUAUGUGAAGGAAUGACGGAGAGAGGAAGCUGCAGCCAGCGGCUGGAAGAGCUGGUGCAAGCGAGAUAUCGGGAUGGCAGGCAAAUCCACCAUCCGAAACGAGAAGGCGUGAAGCGUACGGAAAGCUAAGGCGAGUACGGAAGGCAGUGGAGGAGCUUCCAAGAAAAGUUUCUAACGAAAGUAUAUGUGACCCGUACCGAAAAUGGACACACAUGGGUGAGGAGAGAAUCCUAAGGUGAGCGAGAGAACUAUAGCUAAGGAACUCUGCAAAAUGACUCCGUAACUUAGGGAGAAGGAGUGCUCAUAGAGAUAUGAGCCGCAGUGAAACGGCCCAAGCGACUGUUUACCAAAAACACAGCUCUCUGCUAAGCCGCAAGGCGAAGUAUAGGGGGUGACGCCUGCCCGGUGCUGGAAGGUUAAGGGGAGGGGUUAACGCAAGUGAAGCCCUGAACUGAAGCCCCAGUAAACGGCGGCCGUAACUAUAACGGUCCUAAGGUAGCGAAAUUCCUUGUCAGGUAAGUUCUGACCCGCACGAAAGGCGUAACGAUUUGGGCGCUGUCUCAGCUGUAGACUCGGUGAAGUCUUAGUACCUGUGAAGAUGCAGGUUACCCGCGACUAGACGGAAAGACCCCAUGGAGCUUCACUGCAGGUUGAUAUUGGGAUUUGAUGCAGCAUGUACAGGAUAGGUAGGAGGCAAAGAGAUGGAUACGCCAGUAUUCAAGGAGCCGCUGUUGGGAUACUACCCCUGUUGUAUUGGAUUUCUAACCGGACGACGUAAAGCCGUUGACGGGACAGUGUCAGUCGGGCAGUUUGACUGGGGCGGUCGCCUCCCAAAGAGUAACGGAGGCGCCCAAAGAUACCCUCAGCUUGGAUGGAAACCAAGCGCAGAGUGCAAAGGCAAAAGGGUGUUUGACUGCGAGACCUACAAGUCGAGCAGGGACGAAAGUCGG
rnacentral:rRNA from 1 species